GUACUGAUGAAGAGUCCUAAAGUAGGACGAAACAGCUGUCCAGUAU
rfam:Trichobilharzia regenti genome assembly, scaffold: TRE_scaffold0063338